AACGAACGCUGGCGGCAUGCCUAACACAUGCAAGUCGAACGAGACCUUCAGGUCGAGUGGCGCACGGGUGCGUAACGCGUGGUAACCUGCCCUUAGGUUCGGAAUAACUCCCCGAAAGGGGUGGUAAUAUCGGAUAAUGUCUUCGGACCAAAGAUUUAUCGCCUUUGGAUGGGCCCGCGUUGGUUUAGCUAGUUGGUAGGGUAAAAGCUUACCAAGGCGACAAUCCAUAGCUGGGCUGAGAGGAUGAUCAGCCACACUGGGGCUGAGACACGGCGCGGACUUCUGCGGAAGGCAGCAGUGGGGAAUAUUGGACGAUGGGCGAAAGCAUGAUCCAGCAAGGCCGUGUAAGUGAUGAAGGACUUAGGGAUGUAAAUCUGUGUUAACCGGGAUGAUAAUGACAGUACCGGAAGAAUAAGCUCCGGCUAACUACGUG
rnacentral:rRNA from 1 species